rnacentral:lncRNA from 1 species
AUAGAAAUGAGUGACUGUGGUGACAGCCAUCAUCAGGGUCAUGGCAUUAGACUAGCAGGAGGCGGCAUUUAUUCACAAGUUUACAUAAAUGGAAACAUGGCAUUCGUCAUGUCUUGGCCAUACCAGAAGAAUUUGGUUUGGAGGCAACCUUGGAGAAGCACACAGACUGUUUGAUUUUAUCCGAAAGCUACUUUUCAAGAUAUGGAAGACUGAAGAAUUUUACAAGAGCAUGUUAACCUUUAACCUGUGUGUUUGCAAUAAGGAGAUCUUUACUGGAAUGAAAAGACAUUGUAUACUAGCACUAGAGCUAUAAAGGCAAGGAUUUGCUCUUUAUGCAUAUACCAAAGACACUGUGGCCUCCCACUCAGCAGCCCACAGGGGAAAAAUCCUAUUUUGCAGGAAAAAAAAGUUGUUCUUCUUGUUAGAUAUUUUCUUAGUAUAACUGUGUUGGGUAGGGCUUAGACCUUUGUACUCUCCCUGAACAAAUUCCUUGUAGUGAAAACCUAUAUGAAUACUGCGUUUUUACAUCUAAUGUCUGCAUCUGGAGGCCAUGUGCCAGUGUCAUAUCUUCUUGGGAUGUGCUUUCUCCUCGUUUCCUA